UGGGGAAUUUUGCGCAAUGGGCUAACGCCUGACGCAGCAACGCCGCGUGGAGGAUGAAGGUCUUUGGAUUGUAAACUCCUGUCAGCAGGGAAAAAGCGACUUAGCCUAAUACGCUAGGGAGUUGAUUGUACCUGCAGAGGAAGCCCCGGCUAACUCUGUGCCAGCAGCCGCGGUAAUACAGAGGGGGCAAGCGUUAUUCGGAAUUAUUGGGCGUAAAGGGCGCGUAGGCGGCUUGGCAAGUGGAAGGUGAAAUCCCUCGGCUUAACCGAGGAACUGCCUUCCAGACUGCUUAGCUUGAGACCGGGAGAGGUGAGUGGAAUUCCCAGUGUAGCGGUGAAAUGCGUAGAUAUUGGGAGGAACACCAGUGGCGAAGGCGGCUCACUGGACCGGUACUGACGCUGAGGCGCGAAAGCGUGGGGAGCAAACGGGAUUAGAUACCCCGGUAGUCCACGCCGUAAACGAUGAGUGCUUGGUGUAGCGGGUAUCGACCCCUGCUGUGCCGAAGUCAACACAUUAAGCACUCCGCCUGGGGAGUACGGUCGCAAGGCUGA
rnacentral:rRNA from 1 species